GAUGAACGCUGGCGGCGUGCCUAAUACAUGCAAGUCGAGCGAACGGACGAGAAGCUUGCUUCUCUGAUGUUAGCGGCGGACGGGUGAGUAACACGUGGAUAACCUACCUAUAAGACUGGGAUAACUUCGGGAAACCGGAGCUAAUACCGGAUGAUAUUUUAAACCGCAUGGUUCAAAAGUGAAAGACGGUCUUGCUGUCACUUAUAGAUGGAUCCGCGCUGCAUUAGCUAGUUGGUAAGGUAACGACUUACCAAGGCAACGAUGCAUAGCCGACCUGAGAGGGUGAUCGGCCACACUGGAACUGAGACACGGUCCAGACUCCUACGGGAGGCAGCAGUAGGGAAUCUUCCGCAAUGGGCGAAAGCCUGACGGAGCAACGCCGCGUGAGUGAUGAAGGUCUUCGGAUCGUAAAACUCUGUUAUUAGGGAAGAACAUAUGUGUAAGUAACUGUGCACAUCUUGACGGUACCUAAUCAGAAAGCCACGGCUAACUACGUG
rnacentral:rRNA from 1 species